rnacentral:rRNA from 1 species
GUAACGCGUAGGCAACCUACCCUUCAGUGGAGGACAACUUUUCGAAAGGAAAGCUAAUACUGCGUAAGACCACAGCUACCUCGGUAGCAGCGGUCAAAGAUGGCCUCUACUUGUAAGCUAUCGCUGAAGGAGGGACUGCGUCCCAUCAGCUUGUUGGUGAGGUAAUGGCUCACCAAGGCUAAGACGGGUAGCUGGUCUGAGAGGAUAAUCAGCCACACUGGUACUGGAACACGGACCAGACUCCUACGGGAGGCAGCAGUGAGGAAUAUUGGGCAAUGGGCGCAAGCCUGACCCAGCCACGCCGCGUGGGUGAUGAAGGCCUUCGGGUCGUAAAGCUCUGUGGGGAGGGACGAAAACGUCGGUCAAGAAACGGGCUGGCCUUGACGGUACCUCCUUAGCAAGCACCGGCUAACUCUGUGCCAGCAGCCGCGGUAAGACAGAGGGUGCGAACGUUGCUCGGAAUUACUGGGCGUAAAGCGCGUGUAGGCGGACUUGUAAGUCGGGUGUGAAAUCCCUGGGCUCAACCCAGGAACUGCACUCGAAACUACAAGUCUUGAGUAGUGGAGAGGUAUGGCGGAAUUCCCGGUGUAGAGGUGAAAUUCGUAGAUAUCGGGAGGAACACCAGUGGCGAAGGCGGCCUACUGGACACUUACUGACGCUGAGACGCGAAAGCGUGGGGAGCAAACAGGAUUAGAUACCCUGGUAGUCCACGCCGUAAACGAUGAGUGCUAGGUGUCGCAGGUAUUGACCCCUGCGGUGCCGUAGUCAACGCGUUAAGCACUCCGCCUGGGG